GUUUCUGACUGUUGAAAAAUUGAGGCCUUAUCUCUUUAUUGAGGAUCUGGCUCAACAAUCUUAAAAGUCCUUCUGGAAGACUUGCGAGGUGGGCAGUACUCCUUCAGCAGUAUAAUUUUACCAUCAUUCAUUGUAAGGGUAAAGAUAACGUUGUACCAGAUAUGUUGUCCAGAACUGUUCCGAGAAUAGACGAAGUUGAAGAAUCGUUUGAAGACAAAAAUUGAAGUUCAAGGCCAUAAAUACCCAUCAUAUACAGUUCAAGAUGGAAUAAUCUAUAAUGUGAAACACCAGACCUUGAUUAUGAAACGAAUCAAUGGAGGAUCUAAGGAAGAACGUUUAACGAGAAAUUUAACGAUGAAGCGGAAGUUGGAGAUCAUCUUGGAGUGAUGAAGACGGUGGAAAAGAUCAGUCAACUUUAUUAUUGGAUGUGGCAAGGUAUGUUAAAGCUUGUCAAAUAUGUCAACGAACGAAUCCAGAACAGAAAAACCCUGGUGAUGAAAAAUCAUGGAAAAACCAUAACGGUGAACAUAACAACGCGUUUAGAGUCAAUGAACAAGAAAUAUGUAGAAGCAAUAGCUUAAAAACAAUACAGUUUGGUUAAAAAAAAAGAAGAAGCAAGGUUAUACCUGGGCGAUAAUGUCUCGAAGGAUUUUUUUAUGAGUUUAUGGUACACAACCUAACGGUGGAACGUGGCUGGGCUUUGUUAUUCGAAAAAUUUCCAUACUCUGCGGACGGCUUGCGUGAAAUCGGUAGCAAAAUCAGGUAGUUUUUUUAUUUAUUGCCCUAUUUUUUGUUUAUUUCUUGAAUAAAAAUCGUUUUUGAGUAUU